rnacentral:tRNA from 1 species
CAUUAAGAAGCUAUGCAACAGCGAUAGCCUUUUAAGCUAGAGAAAGAGGACCAUUAGCCUCCUUAAUGA